AAAUUAUACGAAGGGACCCAACACAGAAAAUUCAUUUUAUUGAAUUUUACAUUUAUGUGCAAGUUGGGCAAAGGGCCUUAUUUUUUUUAAGUAUUUCAAUGUAAAAUUACAUAUAAAUACAAAGUAUUUUGGAGAGACUCUUGAGGGAACAGGACAAGCUGAAGACUACAGGCUGAAGCUGUCCCCUAAGAAAGCGAGCCAACAAUACGAAAUAUUGUAAAUAAAGAAGCCAGUAA
rnacentral:ncRNA from 1 species